GAUGAACGCUGGCGGCGUGCCUAAUACAUGCAAGUCGAGCGAACGGACGAGAAGCUUGCUUCUCUGAUGUUAGCGGCGGACGGGUGAGUAACACGUGGAUAACCUACCUAUAAGACUGGGAUAACUUCGGGAAACCGGAGCUAAUACCGGAUAAUAUUUUGAACCGCAUGGUUCAAAAGUAAAAGACGGUCUUGCUGUCACUUAUAGAUGGAUCCGCGCUGCAUUAGCUAGUUGGUAAGGUAACGGCUUACCAAGGCAACGAUGCAUAGCCGACCUGAGAGGGUGAUCGGCCACACUGGAACUGAGACACGGUCCAGACUCCUACGGGAGGCAGCAGUAGGGAAUCUUCCGAAAUGGGCGAAAGCCUGACGGAGCAAAGCCGCGUGAGUGAUGAAGGUCUUCGGAUCGUAAAACUCUGUUAUUAGGGAAGAACAUAUGUGUAAGUAACUGUGCACAUCUUGACGGUACCUAAUCAGAAAGCCACGGCUAACUACGUG
rnacentral:rRNA from 1 species